GUAGCUUGCUACAUUACCUAGCGGCGGACGGGUGAGUAAUGCUUAGGAAUCUGCCUAUUAGUGGGGGACAACAUUCCGAAAGGAAUGCUAAUACCGCAUACGCCCUACGGGGGAAAGCAGGGGAUCUUCGGACCUUGCGCUAAUAGAUGAGCCUAAGUCAGAUUAGCUAGUUGGUGGGGUAAAGGCCUACCAAGGCGACGAUCUGUAGCGGGUCUGAGAGGAUGAUCCGCCACACUGGGACUGAGACACGGCCCAGACUCCUACGGGAGGCAGCAGUGGGGAAUAUUGGACAAUGGGCGAAAGCCUGAUCCAGCCAUGCCGCGUGUGUGAAGAAGGCCUUUUGGUUGUAAAGCACUUUAAGCGAGGAGGAGGCUACUUGGAUUAAUACUCUAGGAUAGUGGACGUUACUCGCAGAAUAAGCACCGGCUAACUCUGUGCCAGCAGCCGCGGUAAUACAGAGGGUGCGAGCGUUAAUCGGAUUUACUGGGCGUAAAGCGUGCGUAGGCGGCUUUUUAAGUCGGAUGUGAAAUCCCUGAGCUUAACUUAGGAAUUGCAUUCGAUACUGGGAAG
rnacentral:rRNA from 1 species